rnacentral:rRNA from 1 species
UGUGCUUGCACUAUCACUUAGCGGCGGACGGGUGAGUAAUGCUUAGGAAUCUGCCAUUUAGUGGGGGACAACAUUCCGAAAGGAAUGCUAAUACCGCAUACGUCCUACGGGAGAAAGCAGGGGAUCUUCGGACCUUGCGCUAAAUGAUGAGCCUAAGUCGGAUUAGCUAGUUGGUGGGGUAAAGGCCUACCAAGGCGACGAUCUGUAGCGGGUCUGAGAGGAUGAUCCGCCACACUGGGACUGAGACACGGCCCAGACUCCUACGGGAGGCAGCAGUGGGGAAUAUUGGACAAUGGGCGGAAGCCUGAUCCAGCCAUGCCGCGUGUGUGAAGAAGGCCUUUUGGUUGUAAAGCACUUUAAGCGAGGAGGAGGCUACUAGUACUAAUACUACUGGAUAGUGGACGUUACUCGGGGGGGGGGGCACCGGCUAACUCUGUGCCAGCAGCCGCGGUAAUACAGAGGGUGCGAGCGUUAAUCGGAUUUACUGGGCGUAAAGCGUGCGUAGGCGGCUUUUUAAGUCGGAUGUGAAAUCCCCGAGCUUAACUUGGGAAUUGCAUUCGAUACUGGGAAGCUAGAGUAUGGGAGAGGAUGGUAGAAUUCCAGGUGUAGCGGUGAAAUGCGUAGAGAUCUGGAGGAAUACCGAUGGCGAAGGCAGCCAUCUGGCCUAAUACUGACGCUGAGGUACGAAAGCAUGGGGAGCAAACAGGAUUAGAUACCCCUGGUAGUCCAUG